AAAAUCGUCUGCCAGCUGUCUAGGGGAUAUAAGUUCGUGCUUGUACCUCGAGACCGGGUCUUAAACCAAGAGGGCAAGACUCGGGAGGAAGAACAUUUGGGUCAUGGAAAGCAAAGGGCUACGUGGCCAGGGCUUGCACUACCUGUAAGAUGACUUGCACUACCUGUGAGAGGACUUGCACUACCUGUGAGAGGUAGACGUUCGACGCCAAGACCAGGAGUCGUCGUUCUCAAAGGAGGAGAACGUCUGCUGGGUUCGUCGCACUACAAAUAAUCGGAGAACUUUGCUUGAAGGUGGUGUUCGUUCGAUCGGCGGCUGUACAUGGCAUUGAAGUCGUCGAAGACAUCACGUGUGUAUCCCUGGGACAGGUUCGACACUGUGUCGCCGGAAGAGCAGCCGUCGCUGUCUGAUGUGGUUGGCAGUUUGGGCGGGAAGGACACUUUCGGAGGGAGAGUCAUCAGAGUGCCGUGAUUGUCGGCUGAAGUAUUGGUCUCCACCAACCCACCAUCGUGGACCCAUCCCAGAUACAAGAACGGCUUUAGCAUCAAAGUUUGAAGUCGACUGCCGAUGUGCAGAUCUAAAAUCUAAGUAAUGGCAAGAUGGCGCAGAUGUGAUACAUCGAUUACAGAACAAAGGCAUAACCUGAGGCAACAUUUUAUUAUUCAUUUUUUUUGUCACGGCUGAAGAAGUAAGUGUUAGCCCUAUGGUGCUUCUCAUUCUUCCUGUGUUUUUGUUUCCCGUCUGCUUUUUAACUAACUUCAGCCUAGGAAGCAAUAUUAGUUUGUCAUAUUAGAAGCAUCCUGCAUAGCUUAACAGAUACAGUUAACCAUUAUAGGCAGCUAUCUUUGCCUUGACCUGUUUCUUUAUUUUGGAGGAAAUUGUAUAAUUGUAUGGUGUUAAAUGUUCUUUCUCACGUACCAUUGUUUGAACUGUCUUCCGGCAGUUCCACCUCAUUCUUACGAAGUUCAGUUCCGCAUCCUUUUUCCAUGCCAGUCCCAAUUUUAUUUUCUGUGCAGGGCUCGUCUUUUUUUCCCCCUUUUCUUCUCAGGACGACGUUAGUUGCAGUCUUACGUCAUGUCAGCAACUAAGGCUAUCUCACGGCGAGAAUAGACAGCAGGUGAUGAGGCUAUCUUGGGGCGGAAACUUCGCUCACAUGCUUAUUGCCAGGUUUGACCCAGGGAAGGAGGGGAGGUAGGUGCUUCACACCGUGGAGGCUACCCUAGUAGUUACGGUUCUAUGAUUGUCAAGUAUCCUGACGUCCCUCCCCCAGUCAGACCCCUUCUUUAAUGUAAGUCAGUAGAUUUUGGCCAUUAAUAACAGCAAUAGUUACGCCUACA